AGUUCCAAUGUAAAAAAAGGGAGUGAGCAUAUAAUUUACUACGGUCCAAAAAUUACCAAAUUGAAAUAUACGUAAAAAUGGAUUGAGAGUUAUACCUUCACCAAAGGUGAUCUUCUUGAUGGUUCCGGGGCCGCCAUCUCCUUCGAGGAUCUCGGCGCACUUAACUGCCUGAGGUGCAAUCUUGGGGAUGAGGUUGUCGGCAUCGAGAACGAAGGCCUUGAACAACUUAGGUGCUGGGAUAUCGGAGGUGAACUCGUUUUCAUAAGUGUAAACACCCAUGAUGAUCACGACUUGAGAAAUAAGCAAGCAGGGAAUAAGGAACUUCAAGGAUGAUGGUUUUAAGGGAGCUGUGUUGUGUUGGAAAUGUGUUAUGGGAAGGUGGUAUUUAUAGAUCUUCAGAGUGAAGGUCUCCCUAGUGAACUGACAAUACUGUCCCCCUGUAUAUGGAUCGAAGUGUGUUUUGAACUUUUGAUCAAUUUGCCACUUCUUAAUUCGGUUGUUCUCAAAUUCGCAAGGAACCUGAUUUUUUUAUACAAACUAUCUGUGUUAUUUCAUUCUUUAAUUAAUUAGUGGAUAUCUUUAGAUCAGAAUUUUUAAUAAAAUUCUGUGUCUUGGUCAAAUUAAGCAAUAACUACUGUAAUUGCUGAAUAAAAUAGACUCCAACUAGGUUGAGACAAUAUAUGCAAUUGCAGCAGAAAAUAAAAUUAAAGACUUUCUAGAUAUAUAUUGUUGGGAGCCAUUCUAAGAACUCUUAACUUGAAGACUUUUCAGUUUAUGGUUAAAAAGACAAAUUUUUUGAUCAUAUUUUGACAUCUCAUCCGUUCAUUUUUUAAGUUUAUAUAAGUAGAUCAUUUAUACAAAUUUUCAGCCAAAUUGGUGUUCGUUAAGAUAACAAACUAGAUCAAAUUAAUGGACGAACCAAAUCUGUCAAAUAUGAACCGUUCAAGUUUCUAAUUGAUAAAUCACACUUAUGAAUGCAUUAAUAAUUUUCAAUAUAGCUGAAAAUUUAGAGAAAUGAUCUACUACUCAUAAAUACUUAUAAAUUGAAUGGUCAAGAUGUAAAUAUAAGAUCGAAAGAUGAGAUAAACUGAAAAGUCCUUAACAAGUUCUCAACUUAAAAAUCUUCAUUAGAAGAGCUUUUAUAUAUUGUUAGCUAGGUUCAGGGUUUAGGAUCAAAGAAUAUUGAUCAUCAUCUAGUACAUAGUUUUCAGGCUGCUUUCAGUAAAUUUCAUAUAAGAUAAACAUUGAUGAGCUUUUUUGAACAGAACACGUUGCAAGAUUUCUAAAGCAUGAGAAAUAGUUGAAGUCAAAAAGCUUAAAAAAGAUAUGAAAUUAUGGAGAAAAUACUGAUAAGAAAGUAAGAAACUAUGAUGGCAACUAUGAUCGAACAAGCAGCUGAUUGAUAAAGCUUCUAUUUGCAGCUUGGUUAAUUGCCGACCAUAAUUCGGAACCUGGUAAUUAGCUUGGCUAGCUGGUAAUUACCGAGCUAGAAGGCUUUGAUCUUCUUAUUUCCCUUUCUGAUUUUUCUGGUUUUCAUUCUCUUCUUGAUAGUUCAAGAUUUGAAUGCUUCGAUUCAUUUCAACAAUGGCAGCUGGCGGUCAACAUUGGCUAUCCAUAUCUCUCUUUUUUCGGUUUUUUUUUCAUUUUCCUUUUUUCUUUGAUGCAGGACUAAACUGAUCGAUCUUAAUUAAUUAUUCUUUUAUUGUACGUGGAAUGCUUUAAAUUAUUAAGAAGUAACCUACAUCAACUGAUGGAGACAUUUUACUGUUCUUGGAUAACCAUCUUAAUUUGCAAUAAUUCACAAACCUAAUGGUGGCCUGAGAGAAAUGAGAAUACAGCUACAAAUUAAAAUAAAUUAAAGAAUAAUUAAAUUCAGUUUACGUCAUUGUGGUUUAGAGGUGAAUUUAUGUUAGUCCUUAAACUUUUAAUUUCAUCAGAUUACCUCCCGAACUCUUGUUUUUCUGUUUGCCGUAUGCUUCGUCCAAUUGGGACGUUGAAAUUUGAUGACAUUUGGGGGUUGAGAAGCUAAAUUACCAGAAAAACAAGAGCUCGGGGGGUAAUCUGAUGAAAUUGAAAAUUUAGGGACUAACAUCUAACAUGAAUUUACUUCUAAAUCACAAUGAGGUAAACUGAAUUUAAUUCUAAACUAAAACUUACUGACAGUGCUGCAUUAACAAUAUACUAGCCUUUUUUUACCAGUGCAUUUCUACGGGCUCACAAUUUCUUAAUAACGCAGUUAUUCUCUCCGGUAUAAAACACAUUAGUCAUUACCCACUUUUCUGUCCAUAAUUAUCUCUUUCUUUUAUUUAUUUUAUUUUUUUAUUUACCAUAUUAACCCUUAUUCUUACUAAUCUGAAUCAACUUAAUAUGAAUAAUAUUACCAGAACAUAAUUUGAUAAUUUAAAGACUGGUCGCUUUAUAGUAGUAGAGAUAACAUUAAUAACUAAUAGGGUUUGUGGAGUAGUUACAUUACCAAUUAAAUACCAUAUAAUAUAUACUUACAUGAGCUGAUGAUCGAGCAGUAAGAACACAAAGUGAUAACCAAUAAGUUAAAAUUUUGCCGAAAGCUGGAGGGAAUAAGAAAUUUCAAUAUGGAGAGAAACAGGAGCAGCCCUAGCUAGGCAUUUGGUGGAAUACAACGCACUUGAUCAACCAGUACGUAAUUCGUACUUAUAAAUUAAUCGAUCACUUAAUCAUCUAGUGGAAUAUAUAUCCAAUUGAAUAUAUACAUCCUUGAUUCCUUAAUUAGCCCAUACAAACUAUUGCUUUGUUUAUGCUUAAUUUGUUAAACUAUUAAUUCCUUCAUCAACUACUAAUCACGAAUGGAUCAAAGCAUUUUGGAAAAUCAUAUUCUACAACUGAAGUUGACGAAAUAGUUGUUGGGAUGGUUGUGAAUUGUGAUCAUAUAGUAACAUCUUCUAAUAAUCAAAGAAAAAUUACUAGACUGAACUAACACCGAAUUACUAAACUUGCACAUCAAUAAUUACUGGUGAUCGAUGAUGACAUGGUUUUUAGAUCGAUACUAGCUAGUUCAAUGAGAUGGUAUUUAAUUAUUUACGUUUGCUUGUACUCAUGUUCAUACAAAUUGCUUUCUUCAUUUCAUGAUCUGAUUUGGAAGAUGUAGAAAAAGUCAUCUUUAUCACAUGCCCCACAUCAUCGUCUUGAAGAUUUGUUUGUCUUUGGCUCGGAUAUUCCUCAUCGUCAAUCUGGAUAUCCCCAAAUUUAUGCAAUAUGCACUCGCCGGCCCUCUUCAUUUGUAAUUGUUAGGCUUUAUAUAAAGUAUAAAGUAUAUAUGAAUUUCAUUGCCACGUUUACAUAUCAUAUAUUUAAAAUGAAAAUAUGAAUGAUGAAGCUAGCUACAUCGAGCUUCAACUUAAAUCAACUUUUGCUACCCCAAUUAAAGAUUUUGGAACAUUAAUUCGGCAUUAUCUUGCUAAAUUGUGAGCUUGAAUCAUAUCCAUUAGCUUCAUGCAUACAAAACAAGAUUAAUAGUUCAAAGUCACAUUCGAUUAACAACAUAUUAUGCUAAUUAAGUUAUCUUUAUGAUCUUUAGAGGAUAUAUUUUGCCGAUGAUGGUCAUGAUAUAACCAAUUUAGUAGAGUCAAAUGACGAUUAUAUGAGUUCGUGUAUAUGCUCACUAAAUGUUGGUAAUGACGUAGCUGAUGCUCUGGUGAAUUUUGUUACAACUUUUGCUGGUUAGCCUGGUUUGGUUUGGCUAAACUUGAUUCUUUCCUCUAUUCAUGCUCAUUGUAACAGCGACCGAUUAGGUUUACCAAAAUUUUGCUUUUAGGAGUUUGCAUGAUUUUGUUUCUGAUUAUGAAGUUUGGUUGUGUCCUGUUUUCGUUUUUUAUUUUAUUUUAUAAAUGAUUUUAAGGUGUCAAAUUCAUUGCUCGCUUAGCGUGAAAAAAAAAAAAUCCCAUGAAAACAUUUCAUAAUUUAAGUGAAGCGCAUGGCCUCGUAUGGUCGUAUUAAACUGAAAAAUUAUGAUCUUUAUCUUUGCAAAUAUUGUCAAUGGACGGUUUUAAGGGUACUUAGCGGUAGUGGUGGGAAGGCACUAACUAUGUCUAUUUAGGUUAAAUUAAUCAAUCAAACUAUUAAUUAACGGAUGAUUUUCAUUAUUUUAGAGAAAAUAAUACCACAUUCAGAUCGUCCAAACAGGUCUAUAUCCUGCAUGAUAUAACCAAGUUCUUGGCAUUUGUCUCGUUCCAGAAGUAAAGCCAACGUUACUAGUAAAACCACACUUUAUCCGAUCACGUACAUAGAGGUAAUUAACACCCAAACAAUGAUCUUCUUGCAAGUUUAGAAGUUUAGUUGUAGUCGUCGGGAUUGGCCAAGAGGUAGCCUUCGACCAGCUUGAAGAGCUGAGACGCCUUCUCUUUUCCAGCCUUAACAUGCUCUUCUUGGAUCUCAAUAUCACCAAUGGUGUAGUAGUUACUGAUGCUCUUAACAAUGGAUCCUCCCUCAGCAGACUCCACCAAUUUGGUCUCGUAAGAGACUUUCUCAAUCUUGUGUUCAGCUAACACAUCUCCUUCGAUCAAACUGUAAUUGUACUGGAACUUAUCUUUGUCAAUCCCAUCGAUCUUGUGCGUUACAGAUCCAAAUUUACUGCCUGCAAAGAAAAAAAGAAUAUAUAUAUAAAUAUACAUGUAUAUAUAUAAUUAGGGUUGCUGCUAGAACUUUCUUCAUUUCAUCUGCAAUAUGUGCUUAUUCUUUUACUCAAAAAUUAAUUCCGGGUCAAGUAAGUGCAUUCAACCAUACCUUCCCCAAAGGUAACUUUCUUGAUGGUUCCAGGCCCUCCAUCACCUUGAAGGAUUUCAGUACCUUGGAUUGCUUGGGGUGCAAUCUUCGGGAUGAGAUUGUCCACAUCAAGGAUGAAAGCCUUGAACAAUCUAGCUCGUGGGAUGACGGAGGUGAACUCAGUUUCGUAAGUGAACACACCCAUUAUAGGAUCGAAAUUCUCAAUUCGAAACAACAACAAAUUAAGAUAAAGGUUUAACCCAGAAGAUUAGGGUUGGAGAGGAGAAUGCUUUGCAGGUGGUACUUAUAGAAAGAAGAUCGGUGAGACCAAUGUUUAUAUUUGGAAGCUGUUACUACAACUUUAGGAGAUACAUACUCGAUCAUUUGGUUUUAAGCAGUAGACAUUAAAGAGUCGCAAAAUGUGGGUGGUCUAUCGACUUCCUAUAUAUUUUGGUUUGAACUUCCGGUAGCUAGCUUCAGUACGUAAUACAUAGAUUGGAACUUGGUUUUUAAUUAACUGGCUCUUUUUCUACUUUCUUUUUUGGGUUUCAAGUUUUGUUUAGUUGCUUUGAUUUAACAAUGACAGUUCAUACGUACGCCCAGCUCUUUAAUUUUUCUUCGUUUUCUUUGAUUUAAUUUAGCCUAUAGAUUUUGAUCGACUUGGAAAGCCUACUUAAUUGACCACCAAACUGAUUAAGCAGCAUUCAUUAAGGUCGGAAAUUCGGAAAUGUUCUGUGGAGCCAAGACUUACUCUGUCAUUAUUUAGGAUUAAUAUGCACAACAAUUUGGAUUAAAUGGUGCUGGAGAAAGUAAUUUUCCAGAUAAUAGCAUAUUUUAUAAAUGAAAAAUAAACUAACGCUACUUACAAAGCCAGUUGAUUAGUCAUGAUCGACCUUCACCCUAGCUAGUACACCAAAUUUCGUCUUGAUGCAUCCAACAAGCUAAUUGUGCCUCAGAUCCGUCCAUGUUCAACAUUUCUAUAUAUAUGAUCAUCAAAAACAACUUCUCUCCCGGCCGAAUGAUAUAAGAAAAUACAAUGAAUAUAACAAUUCUUUGGUAUAGACAGUCCAGAUUUUUCAAGAAAGAGUGAGCUCGUGAUGAUUUGUAGGAUGAUAAUGCAGUUUAUGGUUGACUAUUUAAUUUGAAUUAUUGUCAGUAUUGUGUAUAAUGCAACGAGUGUAGUACAAUUCACUUGUUCUUAUAGCUAGCUAGCUAGCUAAUUAAUUUUACAUGCAACUAAUUAAAUUCGUAAUAGUUCGUCUGAUAUGUACAUACAUAUAUAUAUAUAUAUAUAUAUAAUAUAUAAUUACUUUNUAGUACUUAAAAAACUUUUUUUUAAGUUUUUUUUUUAUUUUUUUUUUUUUUUUUUUUUUUUUUUUUUUAACAAUGUCAAAGGAUUCUAAAGGAUUACUAUGCGAAUUAAUCUCCAAGAACAUGUGAAAUACUCAAAUUAUAAAUUGCAGCUCCGCCAGCACGAUACUUUUGACAACUUCGAAUAUAUAAUGUGAAUUGUUAGUAAAAUAAUUAAUUGAUGAUAAUUUUAGGAAUAUGCUUAAAUUAUGAACUCAUUUAUUUGUUAGUGGAAUUUGGCCAUCAACCUGUCCAAGUUCCUAGAUUAUAUAGAUCAUCUUUUUACUUAUUGGUAACUGAAAUUUUGAUCGCAUGCAUAUAUAAUGCAUUCACUUUAGAGGCGGCUUCAUUCUUUAGAUUAAUGAUCUGUCAAAUUCUUCUGACCAAAAAUAAUACAAGAGCACUGGAAUUUCAUAUUCCUUUCGUCACAUUUAAACAUCCAUUAUAAAAACUGGCAAACUGCCAAAACCACCUUCGGCCAGUCACACUGCGUUCCCUUUCACCCUAGUCACCCAUGAACCUAUAUAUACCACCCUCGCCCCUCACACUUCCUCACACCAAUACCAUAUAUUAAUUCUUUCUUACCUUCCAUAUAUAUAGCUGUCUUAUUUAAUUUCUCUGAUCAUCAUGGGUGUGUUCACAUACGAAUCCGAGUUCACCUCAGUCAUCCCACCACCUAAGUUGUUCAAGGCUUUCGUCCUUGACGCCGACAACCUCAUCCCCAAGAUUGCCCCUCAGGCUGUGAAGAGUGCUGAAAUCAUUGAAGGAGAUGGAGGUGUUGGAACCAUCAAGAAGAUCCAUCUUGGUGAAGGUUAGUCAAAUUAACUGUAAUAUUAUCGUCAUUAGUAAGUAGUAACUUGUUUGAAUUGUUUAACUAUAUAUAGAUCUCCAUGCAGUUUUGAUAACAAUGGUCACGUUUUCAUGUUACAGGAAGUGAAUACAGCUACGUGAAGCAUAAGAUUGAUGGAAUCGACAAAGACAACUUCGUGUACAGCUACAGUAUCAUCGAGGGAGAUGCUAUCGGAGACAAGAUUGAGAAGAUCUCCUAUGAGAUUAAGUUGGUAGCAUCCGGUGGAGGUUCCAUCAUCAAGAGCACCAGUCACUACCACACCAAGGGUGAGGUCGAGAUCAAGGAAGAGCAUGUUAAGGCCGGAAAGGAAAGAGCCGCUGGUCUGUUCAAGAUCAUUGAGAACCACCUCUUGGCCCAUCCUGAGGAAUACAACUAAAUCUGUUGAUCUCUGUGAUAAGAGGCAACAAGCCAACAAGCCAACAACUAAAAUGGUGUCAAUCUGCUCGAUCAUCGUAUCUCUUUGUUUAUCGGUGUGCCUUUCAUUUUCCCCCUUUUUUUGUACCAAACCAAAGCAUGGACUUUGGGGGUACAACAAUGCUGUAUUUGAUUCCACUCUAAAUAAAUGAAGCAGAAAAGAUUUAGUAAUUAUGAGCAAUUAACAAGUUUUGUUAUCUCUGUACGUAUAGAAGAUACUAAUUACUAUUCAAAAAAAAAGAAAGACGAUACUAAUUAUGGGGUUAUUAUUUGCUAAAUAAUUUGUUUAAUUUGUUUUCCUGGAUCACAUUUUAGUUCACUCUGAAGCAUCUUUCAGAUCGAUACAGUUGUAUGUAAAAAUACUUCUACUCAAACAACUGAUCAAAUGCCGAAUAGCUCUUAAGAACUUUUCCGCUUGCGUAGAAACGUAUGGCCUUUCUAAUGAGAGGGUUAUAUUUUCUUUUGUGACCAUUUUAAUAGCAUAUUGUAGCUGUGUUUCUCAGUUUCUCUCGGUUUCGAUUUACAACGCACAAAGUAAUAUCCAUGAUAUCUCUUACAAAUUCACAAUAUCAUUUCAGAAAGACUUAAUUUGCUAAAGAUUGUCGAUAAUAUGACCAUGCAUGUUAGAUGCACAACUAGCAAAUGAAUCAAAGGCUCGAACACAAAACCCUAUCUUUGCCGAAUAAGAAAAAGGAGAAAUAAAACCAGAACCAACAUUUUAUAUACAUGAAAGCUGCUUUGUAGUAAUUGCAACGACAUCAAGUAUCUAAAGCUCAUCGAUAUUAUCGGGUUCGGUAUAGCACUAAGGAGGGGAGGUUCAGCAGGGGGGUCCAGCAGGGGGGGUCCAGCAGGGGGUGGUUUUGCCUGUGUUUUCCAGCAGCAUGCUAUGUCCUCCGGCACAGCAGAAUUUUCCGAUAUUAUCCUUCUAGUAAUUUUUAUGUCAAAGUUGUAGGGCUGUUAUGAAAGUGUACAAAGCAUAUUAUUGAUGACUGAUAUGGACCAAAUAAGGCAGGCAGGCUAGCUAGCAGCCAGUCUUGAAUAUAUGGAAGACUUGAUGAUCCGACUUGUUCUAAACUCUAAAGAAGGAAAAGCCAAUAAAUCAAAGAAAAUUAAUCCAAUGUGCAAGUCAUGUUUCCUUUUUUGUUCUUAUUUUUCUGGCCAUUAAUAAUUUCGCAAAUUAAUUUGUCCCACAAUUUUUGUUUUGUUUCGGGAAGGAGGAGGGGGGCGGUUGGGUUUGGAUAUUCAUCAUCAUCAUCCAACUUAAUUAUAUUGAAUAAGAAAGAUAUCUGUCUCCACUUAAAUCAUGUUCCUACAUAAGAUCAUUAUGCAUCAAACUCGAUCGCCACCACAUGUAUAUAUACAGAUUGGAAUUGAUUCAAAAAUGAACUACUCUGUAGUAUAUAUAGUAAUUAAAAGUUUAAACUGCAUAUAAGUAAAACCAUUCCAAUAUCUUAGCACCUCACGAGUCACUACUUGGGUACGUACAAGAUCGAGAAAAAACUACCAACAAGUACGUAAGAAAUACACCCCGACAAUAACCCAUGCAAGAUCAAGUGUACACCGGCAUGCAUGGUACAAGAGAAUGAAGCUGAUCCAUAGCACGACAGAUAGUAAUAUUUAACACAUGAGAGUCCUUCUACUAAAAACUCUUAAGUUGAGGACUAGUUGAAGACUUUUCCGUUUAUAGUUUAAAAAACCCAUUUUCGAUCAUAUUUUGACAUUUCAUCCGUUCAAUUUUUAAGUUUAUAUGAGUAGAUCAUUUUUACAAAUUUUCAGCCAAAUUAGUGUUCAUUAAGAUAACAAAUUAGAUUAAAUUAAUAGACGAACUAAAUCUAUCAAAUAUGAACCGUUCAAGUUCAUAAUUGAUAAAUCACACUUAUGAAUGCCUUAACAAUUUUUAAUAUAGCUGAAAAUUUGGAGAAAUGAUCUACUCAUAAAUACAUAUAAAGUGAACGGUCAAGAUAUGGAUAUAAGAUCGAAAAGUGUGAUAAGCCGAAAAAUCCUCAACAAAUCCUCAACUUAAAGGUCCUCAUCAGAAGUGGUUCUUUUAACGCUUAGUAUCUGAAUCAUAAUUAGCUUUGUAUGAGCAAAGAGCAUCGGACGCAGGCAUUGCCUAUAAGCUGAAACUGCUCAUAACUAAGUUUGCACAAGCCAAGUAUAAAAGCGAAGUGCUCUUUUAAUUAGUAAUUUUUUAUCGAAAGAAUUGCACCAUGAAUCGAAUGAGUUUUGCUUUAUUCAUGAGAACUUGAGACAUUUUUAAUCAAUACAACAUUCCAAUUUGUAUACUAACUUGAUAUGCAAGCCAAAACAAUCUGAAAGAAAAAGGAAAUUAAUGAUCAAAGCCACACCAAUGACCGAGCAAAAGGAGGAGAUGAUCGAUCAUGAAGAAUACUGUAUAUUGUUUUAGUUGUAGGCAUCAGGGUUGCCCAAAAGGUAAAUCUCAAUAAUCUUGAACAGACCAGCGGCUCUUUCUUUUCCAGCCUUGACAUGCUCUUCCUUGAUCUCAACCUCACCUUUGCAAUGGUAGUUGCUGGUGCUCUUGAUGAUGGAACCUCCAUCUGCAGAUGCGACCAACUUAAUCUCGUACGAGAUCUUCUCAACCUUGUCUCCAAUAGCAUCCCCUUCAAUCAUACUGUAGUUGUACACAAAGUUGUCUUUGUCAAGUCCAUCAAUCUGGUGCUUCACAUAGCUGUAUUCGCUUCCUUCACCGAGGUGGAUCUUCUUGAUGGUUCCAACACCUCCGUCACCUUGAACGAUUUCAGCGCUCUUCACAGCCUGUGGAGCAAUCUUGGGGAUGAGGUUAUCGGCAUCAAGAACAAAGGCCUUGAACAAUCUUGGUGGUGGGAUUACAGAUGUGAACUCUGUCUCGUAAGUGAAAACACCCAUUAUGACAAUGUAGAAGAGCUGAAGGGAAAAAAAAAAUGAUCAGAGAAGGAAUAGAAUGUUCAGGAAUUAAUGCUGAUAAGAGAGAACUGGUAUUAGGGAUGAGGAAGUGUGAGGGCUAGAGGAGGUAUUUAUAGAUGUGAGGGUGAAGAUCAGACGUACAGUUUAUACAUGCAAGAGGAUUAUUCAAACAAUGUUUCAAUGUGAAAAUGAAUUUACAAUAUUCAACUUAAAUGAACCUCUUUUUUUUUUUUUUAGUCUAAGAAGCCGUCUCGAUUAUUCGUGGCUCGGAAGACUUUGAAAAACCCAACUGCCGCCACAAUCCAAAAUCCGAAACUAAUUGUUUACCUCAGUUUCUUUGUAUCACGAGGUCCAUUACAUUCCUACGUACAUACGUUCCCUAUUUCAUAAAUUUAGUCACUCAUGCAACUUUCGUUAUUGUUUUUUAUUGAGGAAAAUAAAUAACUAAAUAGAGGUGCCUCGAACGCACCAAAUGUUCAUACAAUCAAGUGAUAAGGCUAAAAAAGCCUCUGGGGGAACAUUCUCCACCCAAAGACCGCACCUAUCAAAUCUAUGGCCCAUAUUAGCAAAUUGGCAACAAAGUUAGCUUCUCUGAAAACAUGUGAGAAGCGAAUGGACUCAAAGGAGCAACUCAAACAUUUAAUAUCAUGGUAGAGUUUGAGGAGUCUCCAAGGGGGGUGAGAAACACCAUUAACUACAUCGAUAAUUAGUUUGGAAUCCCCUUCCACUUCAAUCUUUGUCAGGCCUCUCUCCUUUGCACAAAUAAGGCUAUUUCGGAGCGCCAAGGCCUCGGGAACAAGGACAUUGGUGACUCCUGAGUUGAAAGCACCCGCUGCAAUUGGUUGUCCAGAAGUUCUUAAAAUGAAACCUCUUUCGUUAUUUGCUCCGUUAUGUUCGUUGUGAGUUUUGUAUAUAUAUUUCAUACGUUCGUAGAAUCAAUGAAUGAGUCUUUUCUCUUGUAUAUAUACACAUUUUUCCUUGGAAUCUUGGAGGAAAUUAAAUUAUUAUUAUUAGGUUAAUACAAAUGCUACAUGUAGCUACAGUUGAAAGAUGAAACCAUAAAAGGAAGCAUCAAUGCACUCUUUAACAAUAAAAUCAUAUGUUGCUACAAGUUUUAUUUACAAGUUUUUACAAACACAAAUAAUACAACAUGCUCCACAACAACCGAUUCUGAUUAGUUCACAAGAACGACACCAUUUAUCGGUGGAGACUAGCAUUGGUCACAAUAUAAGGGUUACACACCAUCGCGCUUUUUCCUUUUCCUUCUUAAUGUCUGGGUAUGCUUAUUUACUGAUCAAUGAAAUGUCAUAUUGUUUCAAAAAGAAAAGAAAAAAAAAUGUACUACGUUAUCUUUAAUUUAUUUCGUUGUUCCAUGACUUUCAUCCAAUGAAAAGUCUCGACCUGAAAGAAGCUACAACGCACUAUAUAUUCAUGUUUGAAGAUUGGGAGUGCUCGAUCAAAUGAGUUUUGCUUUUUUUAUUUUUAUUGAGAUAGAUAUUACAACACAAUUAGAAAAGAAAAGGAGAAAAAGAAAUGCAUGCAGUACGUGGUACAAUUUAUUAGAUAGUUUUUAGUCUUUUAAACUUCAAUUGUAUGCCUCAGGGUUGGCCAAAAGGUGGUUCUCAAUGAUCUUGAACAAGCCAGCGGCUCUUUCUUUUCCGGCCUUGACAUGCUCUUCCUUGAUCUCAACCUCUCCUUUGCAAUGGUAGUGGCUGGUGCUCUUGAUGAUGGAGCCUCCACUUGGAGAUGCCACCAACUUAAUCUCGUAAGAGAUUUUCUCAACCUUGUCUCCGAUAGCAUCACCUUCAAUGAUGCUGUAGUAGUAAACAUAGUUGUCUUUGUCAAGUCCAUCAAUCUGGUGUUUCACGUAGCUGUACUCGCUUCCUUCACCGAGGUGAAUCUUCUUGAUGGUUCCGACGCCUCCGUCACCUUGAACGAUUUCGGCACUCUUCACUGCCUGUGGGGCAAUCUUGGGGAUGAGGUUGUCAGCAUCGAGAACAAAUGCCUUGUAGAGUCUUGGUGGUGGGAUGACGGAGGUGAACUCGGUUUCGUAUGUGAACACACCCAUGUUGAUGAUAUGAGAACUUAGAAAUUGAUCAAAGAACUGAAGUGCAGAAGAAAGAUGAUGAGAGAACUGGUAUUGGUGUGAGUAAAAUGAGAGAGCCGGGUUGGAGGUGGUAUUUAUAGUGGAGGAUGAAGCUCACUGCUGUUGUAGAUCAAACAGUUUAGACAAGUGAAACUUUCAAAGAGUACAUAUUAAUUUCGGUGUGAAAUGAGUUUCAUUCAAUUCAAUGAAUUGUUGUUUAAACUUGAAAGUCUAAGAAGCUAGCCGUCUUCCGUAGUACGUUGAUUUGAGGUCGACUGAGAAAAACCAAAUUGAAGUAUGAGUAGGAACUUGUACUUAACGAUAUACAUAAUCCUAAUGUGGAAAAUCAGCAUUGAUCCGUUUCAACAUUAUAUUACAUCAAUUCUAAAUCAAAACAUCACUUCCCCAUCAAGAUUGCAGACAAUGGGCAAAGAACCCAACAAAAUAAAAAAUGUAAUAGCUAGCCAAUGUUGACCGGAUCGGCUAUGCCAUUGUUGAUGCUGACUGCAAAUAAAGCUAUAUAUUGAAAAUUCAAAAAUGGUGUAGAAGAAGACCAUCUAGAACCAGACCCAUUUUUGGUCAUCUAAUACUACUAUACCAUCCAUAUACCAGGUGACUAGAUAAGGGUAGCGUACAUAGCUUUCUCUUACCUUCCAGACUAUGCCAUUUGAUUUUCUGGUAGUAGAGUAUCGGUAAAUCAAUUCUGCAGUACAUUAGUUUAAGUUACUGCUCGUAGUAAGGAGAAGUUGUUUACCAUUUCAGAAGUUGGUUUCUUAUUGUAUCGAGCUAAUUUAUAUAUACAACAUUAGUUUAUCGAGCUAAUUUUCACUUUUGUUAGUCUGGCUUUACGUCAUGUUGUUCAUUUGUUUUUUGUUGAUUAAGGAGUGGUAUAUGUUCAGCCACACUCCUCUGUUUAUUCAUGCGGAAAAAAAAAAAAAAAAAACCUUUGUGAUGACAAAAUUUUAUUACCUUCGGGCUAGGAUAUGCAGAAACUGUAGUUGUUUCAGACCAAUUUAAGAGCCAAAGUUCUGUGAAAUUCUAAGCAGUGUGAACUUCCGGGGCUGAAUUUCUCGAUAGGAAAUAGGGCUUUAUAAACACUUCUUGUCGUGGUAAUCGUCUUGUACCCAGAUGUUAGUUAGGUUCAUCAAUUCAUGCGGGUCAUAGUCAAUGAUAUGGUCUUCUAGUCGCUCUGUUUCUUGUUGUUUUUUCUUUUCGUCAGCAGUUAAGUUUGUUGUCAUCUUCUAGUUGGUUGUAUUCUUUUAUCCUUCUCUAGAUAAAUCAUAACAAAGGCAUGUAACCAGUUUCUCUGUUUUUUUGACAUAAUUUUUGUAUUGUCAUCACUCAUCACUUAGCACACUAUGUUCUGCAGGAACAAAUAUAUCCUGGAGUUCUUAACAAAUCUAGUUUACAAAGUAGAACCGGCUCUGUAGAAUUCUCAAUUUGUAGAUCAGUUCAGUAUUCAGAUUCAAAGAACUGGCAAAACAGUAACUCUUACUUACCAAAUGAUAUUUCGUUUAUUUAUUUAGAAUCAAAUCCACCAUUAUUGCAUUACAAUUUGCCACACAUAAACCGAAGUGCAAGCCAAAACAAACUCAGACAAGAAGAGGAAAAAAUAGCAAAGCCACACCAAUGACAGAAUCAAAGAGCAGGACACAACACUAUUAUUGUCCAUAGUAGCGCUCAAUACUACUACCAUAGAGACAGCAAGGUUUAGUUGUAUUCCUCGGGGUGGGCCAAAAGGUAGCUCUCGACGAGCUUGAACAGACCAGCGGCUCUUUCUUUUCCGGCCUUGACGUGCUCCUCCUUGAUCUCAACCUCACCCUUGCAAUGGUAGUGGCUGGUGCUCUUGAUGAUGGAUCCUCCCUCGGAUGCAAUCAACUUAAUCUCAUAGGAGAUCUUCUCGACCUUGUCUCCGAUGGCAUCUCCCUCAAUGAUACUGUAGUUGUACACAUAGUUGUCCUUGUCAAGUCCAUCGAUCUUGUGCUUUACGUAGCUGUAUUCACUUCCUGCAUAAAAUGAGUUCAUGAAUUAGAUGGAUGGUUACAAAAACUUGAGACACUUUUUUUCUUUGUAAUGUACAUAUGAGCAAAAAUAUAACAAGGCUGUAGAAAUUGAAGUCAAUGAUGCAAAUUGAACUAACCUUCACCAAGGUGGAUCUUCUUGAUGGUUCCAACUCCUCCAUCACCUUCACAAAUUUCAGCACUCUUCACUGCCUGAGGGGCAAUCUUGGGGAUGAGGUUGUCGGCAUCAAGGACGAAAGCCUUGUACAAUUUGGCUGGUGGGAUGACUGAGGUGAACUCGGUUUCAUAUGUGAACACACCCAUGACGACGAUUAAAGAGCUAAAAGGGAAAUGAUCAGAGAAAGAAUGAAUUGUGGAGGAGGCUAAGAGUGAAUAUAUUGGUAUUGGUGUGAGGAAGUGUGAGGGUUGGAGGUGGUAUUUAUAGAUAGCUAGAGAGGCUGAAGCACACCCUGCAGAUCAAGGCUUGAAUUUAAACAAGGGACUUUUCAAAGAAUUCUUAUGUGGAUGUGAAAUGGACGUUCAAAUUUUCAAUUCUAUGGAUCAUUGUUUUAGUCUAGGAAGCCGGCUUCAAUUGUUGAUUUGUGAAAGCAAUUUGUCAUCUAAUAUUUAUCAUACUAUUAUAUAGAAGACUUUGAACUAAAAGUACUUGGACUUGAUAACAGAUAUGUAAUCCCAACAUGGAAAAUGACUAUCUUUAACUCUGCCACAGCUAGAUUAUGUAAUUCUAUACUUGGACACAAAUAAAUCAGCAGGUGUAGUCAUAUAUAUUAUGUUACAGACUGAUAAAAGUCUUUCAGAAGCAAAUUUGCCUAGUAUAGAGGACUCUUGGUUUGGCGAAGACAAUGAUACAUAUUCCUGUCGCAAGCAAAAUAAGAUGCACAUUGACAAGGAUAAAUAUCAAGGCGGUCCUAGCUAGUUCUGUGAACCUUCUCUCCAAGUUCAUAAUAAUCAUUGGUCCGCUUAAUAAUUGAGUUUUACUUUAGAUAUAUGCUGAUCUGUAUUGCCUGAACAUGUUCUGAUAAACAUUGAAGGCUUUACUAAAUAAGGUAUGAUCAGUUUGUCGUCGGAUAAACAAUGACGAAAUUCAACACCAGUCAAUAAAAAAAAAGAUGUCAUCUGUAAGGUACUGAUACUGGUUUUAAAAAAAAUGGGGUGAAUCAUGAUCAGAAAAAUUUACUUCUGCACUUGAAAUAAAUCAUUCCAGUACAAAUUAAAUCACUAUCUUUGGCAUACAUGAGAAGAUUUCUUGAACAAAUUUCUCUGUUCCCUGCUAACAUAGGGUCUCAGGGAGACAUUUCCAACCUCACUACGUCCUUUCAGUAUGGUUGUGAACUGGAUUUUUGCAAGUCAAUUCAGGCCAAAACAAAAGUAGGUGCAGCAUCAAGACAAUAAGGUCAGUCUUAAACCAAAGAAAAAUGAAAUAGCCAAUCUUGACUGGCAUCUAGUUUCAGUAACCUGCCAAUGAAGCUAGCUCUUGAUAAUAAGACCAUCUAGAAGCUUUAAAAAAAAAAAAAAAGACCAUCUAGAAGCCAACACUCUUUUUCCUAAUACAAGUGGGGUUUCAGAUAGGGUGCUUUCUUUGACCGUCUUGGCCAAUACAAAAGAGUAGUACGAUUUAUACCUACAAGGACACUUAUCAGUCAUACUCAUACCAGCUAGGAAGCUAUAGGUGACCUUCAAGGCUUCAACCUUGUAUCUUGUCUAAUCACUCUAUAAAUAUCAGUGAUAGCAUUCUAUUUUCUCACAACUCAAAGCAUUACUCUUUCUUUGAUCAUCUUUCCAGUUUCAAGCAACCUAAAAACUGAAAAUGGGUGUGUUCACUUAUGAAACCGAGUUUACAUCUGUCAUCCCACCACCAAGAUUGUUCAAGGCUUUCAUCCUUGAUGCCGAUAACCUCAUCCCAAAGAUUGCUCCACAAGCAGUUAAGUGUGCUGAAAUCAUUGAAGGAGAUGGAGGCGUAGGCACCAUCAAGAAGAUCACCUUCGGUGAAGGCAGCCAGUUCGGCUCAGUGACCCACAAGAUCGAUGGGAUUGACAAAGAGAACUUUGUGUACAGCUACAGUUUGGUCGAAGGAGAUGCCUUGUCCGACAAGAUUGAGAAGAUCUCUUACGUGACCAAAUUGGUGGCGUCUUCCGAUGGAGGAUCCAUCAUCAAGAGCACCAGUAACUACCACACCAAAGGUGACGUGGAGAUCAAGGAAGAGCAUGUUAAGGCCGGAAAAGAGAAGGCGUCCCACCUCUUCAAGCUUGUUGAAGGCUACCUCUUGGCCAAUCCUAAUGAAUACUGUUAAACUUGAUUGUUAUCUGUCACUUUUCCCUUUGUUUUGCUGAUGUUCCAGUUGGAACAUUAGGAAAUUGAAUGCUGUAAUGUUUUCUAUUGAAUAAACAAUCUGUAAUCACAAUUUGCAUUACAUUGUUCAAUUUCUCCCUACUAAUUAAGCUAAACUAUCAAAUUGCUGCUAUAAAAAUAUAUCCACACAGAUGGUCAAGAAACAUCCUAAGAAGGUGGUUCACCUAUCAUUAUUCAAAACAAGAAAUGUCACAAUAUAUAGCCUCUUUGUUUCAGAAAUGAGUCGUUGAGACUUCGGAGUAUUUAGGCCGGUUAGUGAUAGAGGUUGCACUGGUAAAACUCUAAACAGUGACGGCAAACUUGUUCUCCAAACAAUUUGCUGAAAAGUUGAACUCAUUAUCAGUAUAAGUCUUUGAUAAUGACUGAUUGUUGUAGUGAUUGAGUCUUUCUUUCCUUACCUUUCUAUAAAGAAUCGGCCUUUCCCAAUCAAAAUAAUUAUGAUAUUAUGAAAAAAAAAACUGUUUCAUGUCCACAUCUACGACAGAUUAACCAACUGUAAUAGAACAAUACUGUUAUGUUAUGUUAAAAAUAAUUCACAAUUACUGAAGACUUUGGACAGUCACUAACCAGAUAACUCUCUACCAGAUCAUAUACUCCACUUCAUUCAGGGUCCAAUUGACUCCCCGUCGUGCUGGUAUUUGUGUCCCUUUCAUCAUGAUUUUCUUGGAAAGACUGGAACUACUCAAAUAAAGUUCUCACGUUGGUUAAAAAUGCAAUGAAUGGAACAUUUCUAACCAAUCAGUCUGCACGCAGAAAUAGCUAUUGGAUUUCUUACAGCGACAGACUUACAUGCCAAGCAUCGAAAAAUAGAAGGUAAAAAACUCUGCACGCUGUAUUAGUAUAAAGAGGAACAUACGUUUUAUUCUUUACUUUUUAAACGAAAUCCAAUGUGACAUUACAAUUUACCAUAACUCGAAGUGCAAGCCAAAACAAUCCCAGGCUUGGUAGGAAAGGAAAGGGAAAAAAUAUCAAAGCGACACCAAAUGACAAAACAAACAGGACACAACAGAAUAUUAUAAUGCAGUAGCAUUAUCAUAGUUCGAUUUAGUUGUAGGCCUCGGGGUUGGCCAAAAGAUGGUUCUCAAUGAUCUUGAACAAACCAGCGGCCCUUUCUUUUCCGGCCUUGACAUGCUCUUCCUUGAUCUCAACCUCACCCUUGCAAUGGUAGUGGCUUGUGCUCUUGAUGAUGGAGCCUCCACUUGGAGAUGCCACCAACUUGAUCUCGUACGAGAUUUUCUCAACCUUGUCUCCAAUAGCAUCACCUUCAAUGAUGCUGUAGUUGUAAACAAAGUUGUCUUUGUCAAGUCCAUCAAUCUGGUGUUUCACGUAGCUGUACUCGCUUCCUUCACCGAGGUGAAUCUUCUUGAUGGUUCCUACACCUCCAUCACCUUGAACGAUUUCGGCACUCUUCACAGCCUGUGGCGCAAUCUUGGGGAUGAGGUUAUCAGCAUCAAGAACAAAGGCCUUGUAGAGUCUUGGUGGUGGGAUGACAGAGGUGAACUCGGUUUCAUAAGUGAACACACCCAUGAUGAGGAAUAAAAAGCUUAAAAUGAGGAGAUUGAAAUGUGGAAGAAGCUAAGAGAAUAUUGAUA
rnacentral:lncRNA from 1 species